AUUGAACGCUGGCGGGAUGCCUUACACAUGCAAGUCGAACGGAGUGGCGGACGGGUGAGUAAUGUAUCGGAACCUGCCCGGUAGCGGGGGAUAACUACGCGAAAGGGUAGCUAAUACCGCAUACUAUUGGAGCGGCCGAUGUCGGAUUAGCUAGUUGGUGGGGUAACGGCUCACCAAGGCGACGAUCCGUAGCUGGUCUGAGAGGACGACCAGCCACACUGGGACUGAGACACGGCCCAGACUCCUACGGGAGGCAGCAGUGGGGAAUUUUGGACAAUGGGGGAAAGCCUGAUCCAGCCAUCCCGCGUGUGUGAUGAAGGCCUUCGGGUUGUAAAGCACUUUUGGCAGGAAAGCGGUACCUACAGAAUAAGCACCGGCUAACUACGUGCCAGCAGCCGCGGUAAUUC
rnacentral:rRNA from 1 species